rnacentral:rRNA from 1 species
UACGUAGGGGGCAAGCGUUGUCCGGAUUUAUUGGGCGUAAAGAGCGUGUAGGCGGUUAGGUAGGUCCGUUGUGAAAACUUGAGGCUCAACCUCAAGCUGUCGGUGGAAACCCCUUGGCUAGAGUCCGGAAGAGGAGAGUGGAAUUCCUGGUGUAGCGGUGAAAUGCGCAGAUAUCAGGAAGAACACCAAUGGCGAAGGCAGCUCUCUGGGACGGUACUGACACUGAGACGCGAAAGCGUGGGGAGCGAACAGG